rnacentral:lncRNA from 1 species
CGACUCUUACAGUGCCGACAAGAAGAUGCAGGUCACUGUUGCUUUGAACCACUUCGGUAAAGGAUUGGUAGAGAGGAUGCCUAGGUGCCGAUUUGGUUUUAUUCAUGUCGUCAACAAUGACUACAAUCACUGGUUCCUGUAUGCCAUUGGCGGCACCAGCAACCCUACAAUUAUCAGCCAGGGAAAUAGGUAUUCAGCGCCAGGCUUUGGGGCUAAAGAGGUGACCUGUAGGGGCCUCUUAAAGCCGGGACAGUGGAAGAAUUGGAAUUGGGUAUCACAAGGUGACCACUUCGAGAACGGUGCCUUCUUUACACCAUCAGGUAAUCCAAGUGCCAGCAAGCAAUUUGGCGCCGACAAAAUGAUGCCUUUCAAACCUGGUCAAAUGGUCCCCGAGCUCACAAAGUAUGCCGGACCACUAAGCUGCACAAUCGGCCGUCCUUGCUAAAAAUGCUAUUUUUAUAUGCAUUUGUCCUCCCUUUUUUACGUACAAUAUUUGAUACCCAAGCAUAGUACAUUUGGUAUCUUUUCUGAAUGAUUGUCAGUAAAUUUUCUUUUAUGCGAUCCCACCCUAUUCUCUUCUUCUCUCCUAGUAAUAGAUAAUCACAAUUUUUUUCUCACGCGUGACUGUGGAAAUCAUAAAUUUAGAACAUAAAUGUUUGUUUGAAAAUAACAUAUAAUGAAUAAUGAAAUGUGUGGUUUGAAAUAAAGUAACAAUAAUAACAUUGAUUAUCAUGGUGUUUUCAUCAAUCUUUAGUUGGUGUAGGCACCAAAUCAAUCAAAUACAUUAAUCUAACAUAUCUAGUAUAUAUUCUAUUGCAAGGUUAUUUUGGAUUUGUGGAAACCUUCAGUUUGAAGUGAGUUUAGAAUUCGCUAUGCGUCACCAAUCAUUUCAUGACAGCAAUGGAAAUUAAUGAAAUAAAAUAUUUGGUUAGAACUAAAGUUGCGUAAUUAAUUAAAAAUUUUAACAAUCGCGAGACCAUUUAGUUUCUAUAAAUUUUGCAUGUCCCAACUUACAUAUUCGGGUAAUUAGUCAUUUGUCAAAACACAUCAAAGUGAGAAAAGAAAGAAACAAGAAUCAUGGUCAUUCCUCUAUAGUUAUAUUCGUAAUAAUGCAAUCGCAACGGUGAUUCCACCAGGUGUUCUUGCAUCACCAAGAACUAAAUUGAUUUUCUAGAACAAGAUUUAUAAUGGAGACAUCAAGUAUGUAUUUAAGGUGGUGUAUGAGUUAGAUUUCUUUAAGACUCAGCGGGGGUCGGGGAGCCGCCCAAGACAUUGCUUUUACCAGUAUAAAGUCAAAUACCGAAGCAAAAAAACUUGCAAAGCCGAGAGGACAUAGGAUUAAUAAUUCAGCACCUAUGUUUUGAGUUGCUCCAUAGUUGACGCGUGGUAUCAGCUUAGUAAGGGCUUAAAUAAUCGUAUAGAUAUUUAUAAUUGAUGGACAUAAUAAAGUAUGCUUAACAAAUUUGAAAAUCAAAAAAGAAAAUCAAUGUCUUGGUACAGUGUUAAAUUUAUGGUUUUACUAGCAUAAUAAUUGAUUUGGGUUCAAAUCCCUUCGACAACAUAUUUUAUAUUCUUUUAAAACAAUAAGAAUUAAAAUAACCUUCAAUAAUAUAACUUAUUUUAAACAUGACAGGAAUGUAUUUCUAAUUUCCGUAAUAGAGUCGAUGCUCGAUCGACUCAUGUCACCGAAUUAGUUAAGGACUUCAAUAAAUGUUAGUAUAGAUUGUAACAAUAAUGAAAUAUGCAUUAAAAAUCACCACAGAGGUUCAAUAUACACUCGAAUCUCUGUACUCUUUUAGACUUUUAAAAUUUGAAUACAUAGUGCUUUUAUAUUCAAAGGUCCAAGUAAUAAAUUAGAGUCCAAUUCAUAUCACAUAUUCAGAUUUGAGAGAAAUAAAUAAACUCUCUUACCAAUUGAACUUUUAUUUUUUAAAUCAACCAAGUGCAAGGAUUAAAAUCUUGAAAUUGAAAGGAGAGAGGUUUCAUCUGGAAAUGUUGAAGAGUAAAGGGAUUGGAGGAUAAUUAGAGAUUUUUUUUUGUAAUUUCUGAAAUUAGACGUUUAGAAUGGUCUAAAAAAUACAAGAAAACCUCAACUGUUUCUAUCCAAAAAAAAGGAAACAAAAUCCAACCAUUUUUUACGCACUUGAAACACUAGUAGCCAAGUGUGUUUUGUAAAUUUGGAAAUUUUCAUGAAUCCCGGUGUACUAUAAAUAGUGACAUAAUGAUGGUGUUCCAAGCAAAUCAUGCUCGAGUUCAAGUUUUUGGUGCCGUAGCUUGUCUCUCCUGUCCUAUUAGGGUCCUGUUUGCAUCCAACCAGUUGUUUCCAAGAGCUAGGCUUUGAUACUUAAAAUAAGAACCACUAUGGGUAUUUCUAGUUAUAGUUUCUUUCUGUUUUUAUUUGUUGUCAUAAUCCCAAACCUAGAAGCUCAUAUCGCUGAGUAUGACGAGUACUGGACGGCACGAGAAUUGGAAGCCAUUGAGAACCUGGACAAGGCCUAUCACUCCAACCCGGAGGAGGUGGUCCGCCAUUACAAUGACCACUUCUCUAGGACCAUGCUCGAGUUUUAUAUCACCAAAAGGGUGUUGGCAGAAUCAAAAAAGGGUCCCUGUGAGGUUACCAACCACGUUGACAGUUGCUGGCGAUGUGAUCCUGACUGGGAAAAGAAUAGGAAGAAGUUGGCCAACUGUGCCCCUGGAUUUGCUCGAGGUACUACCGGUGGAAAGGAUGGUGAGUUUUACGUGGUCACUGACCCUAUUGAUAAUGCUGCUGACCCCAAGCCUGGAACUCUGCGUCAUGCUGUCACCCAAACUGGACCACUUUGGAUCACUUUCAAAGGGUCCAUGACCAUCAAGCUGCAACAGGAGCUCAUUGUUACAAGUGAUAAGACCAUUGAUGCGAGGGGAGCCAAUGUGGAAAUUUGUAAUGGUGCUGGUAUCACUAUCCAAUUUGUGAAGAAUAUCAUUAUCCAUGGCCUUCAAAUCCAUCACAUUAUUCCCGCCAAGGGUGGCAAGAUCAAGGAUGGUGAAAACCACCAUGGGUUACGGGGUGACAGCGACGGAGACGGGGUGUCUAUUUUUGGAUCAACCAAUGUUUGGCUUGACCAUCUUGCCCUUCACCAUUGCGCCGAUGGCCUUAUCGAUGUCGUUCAAGGAUCAACUGCCGUUACCGUUUCUAACUGCCACUUCACUGACCAUAACGAUGUAAGCUUACUUUCCUUUCAAUUUUAAACUACGCACGAUGAGGAAUUUUUUGAUUGACAAAAAUAAUACAAUUGAAAUGAAAAAAAUUACAGGUGAUGUUGUUUGGAGCAAGCGACUCUUACAGUGCCGACAAGAAGAUGCAGGUCACUGUUGCUUUGAACCACUUCGGUAAAGGAUUGGUAGAGAGGAUGCCUAGGUGUCCGAUUUGGUUUUAUUCAUGUCGUCAACAAUGACUACAAUCACUGGUUCCUGUAUGCCAUUGGCGGCACCAGCAACCCUACAAUUAUCAGCCAGGGAAAUAGGUAUUCAGCGCCAGGCUUUGGGGCUAAAGAGGUGACCUGUAGGGGCCUCUUAAAGCCGGGACAGUGGAAGAAUUGGAAUUGGGUAUCACAAGGUGACCACUUCGAGAACGGUGCCUUCUUUACACCAUCAGGUAAUCCAAGUGCCAGCAAGCAAUUUGGCGCCGACAAAAUGAUGCCUUUCAAACCUGGUCAAAUGGUCCCCGAGCUCACAAAGUAUGCCGGACCACUAAGCUGCACAAUCGGCCGUCCUUGCUAAAAAUGCUAUUUUUAUAUGCAUUUGUCCUCCCUUUUUUACGUACAAUAUUUGAUACCCAAGCAUAGUACAUUUGGUAUC